rnacentral:rRNA from 1 species
UACGUAGGGUGCAAGCGUUGUCCGGAAUUAUUGGGCGUAAAGAGCUUGUAGGCGGUUUGUCGCGUCUGCUGUGAAAUUUCGGGGCUCAACCCCGAACUUGCAGUGGGUACGGGGCAGACUAGAGUGUGGUAGGGGGAGACUGGAAUUCCUGGUGUAGCGGUGAAAUGCGCAGAUAUCAGGAGGAACACCGAUGGCGAAGGCAGGUCUCUGGGCCAUAACUGACGCUGAGAAGCGAAAGCAUGGGGAGCGAACAGG